GAAACACUUCUAAUCGGGAAUAUCAUAUAAGUUGGAUGCUUUUCAUUCGUGUCUAGACACUCAUCGUCUACUCUGAGAAUCGAUUUCAUUUGUCAGUCUCCUAACUACAAUGCUACCCUGAAACAAAUUUUCCCCAAUAUUCAGCAAAUCGAUUCUGAGGUAUUUGCUUAAAAAUUUUGGUAGGUUUUGGACUGUUGUAGUUGAAUGUUCAUAAAUUUGCAAUCACGCGUGUAGUAUGCCAACGGUAACAUCUCCAGUCCCUUGUUGUUUGGAGCUUGUGAGUUUGCAUAUGUUGCUAGGGGAAAACAGGGUUCUGGAAGUGAUCCCUAAUUCUUUGAAGGGGAUUAACCAUGAUAUGUUUAUUUAUUAAAUGCAAUGUUGUUAAUCAUUGUUUUGAACAUUCUUAAUCUCUUGAAUUG